ensembl:lncRNA
AUAACGAUGUAGAUGGAGAGACGGUAGACUGUGGACUCACUGAGACCAUGGUUGCAUAUCUUUUUGACAAGUCUUUCAAAAAGCAGCUGAAGUUCAGAGACUUCACAAACCGCUACAAGGAAGUCAUCAUCACUUUACAACCGGUCGACCCAUUUGAAGGUACAGUUGAAGGUCCAGUGUCCCAAGCAAACCAGAGUUCUAUACCUUCUUGCCUGCAGUCAUUUCCAUUCCAAAAUUCCCACAAGAUGUCCAGAGUCGCUUGGAUCUCAAAGAACCAGUCCAGAAAGAACAGAAGUACCGAAACAAAAUAAUUGGGACUCUUUAUGAAAUGCUGUCACAGUACACAAUGUACCCAACCCACUCAGACUACAUCCAGGUCAUCAAAGCCCUGAUUGUGAAGUAUCCUUUCUUAAGAGAUGUACACGGAAAUGGUUAUGACACCUGGCACAGCCAACUCAAGAGAAAGUUCAAAGCAGAACGGGCUCCCUUAAUCAGCAACGAAGAAGUGAACCGGGUUAAAGAAAAGUUUGGACGCACGCAGAAACAUCGGACCACAGAGGAAUCCAGCAGCUCCUGUCUGAAGAGACUGAAGCCCUCUCUCGAUUCGUGCUUUGUGGGGGAAGAUGCAGCCUCCGUUGAUGCUCAUAUCAAGGUGCUAAAUGAUCAGCACAGGACGCUACAUCCUGACACAGCACUGGUGAAAGACCGCAUGACAAAAACCUUUGCAUGGAGACGUCAAGAGGUAGCUGAAGGAAUGUGUACUGUGGACCUAUUAAAGAGAUAUCCAUUCCUGGGGACAUCUGCAGGGUUGUGUGAUGAGGUUGAUUUAAUGCAUCCCUGCCAAGACAACAUCUGUUGCCGCUUUAGCGAGAACUUCACUGCUGUUCUUCAAAAUGUUCUUCAAAUGACCAAGGAUUUGCCACUGAAGAAGGUCUACAUGGAGGCAAGAGAGAAUGCACUGGCUGAAGACAUUACAGGAAUUGACUUCAAGGGGGCACUUCUCCUCUUGCCAUCCAUCUUCAAGGAGAAGAUAGAAGAUUUCAUCAUCCUUGGAGAGGUAAAUGCAUGAUGCAAUGCAUAGCCUUUGGCCACAAGUUUCAUUCUCGGUGUUUUGUUGGCAUGGAGCUGAAUUCAGCUGCGGUUCAGCAUCACAGCUAAGCUAAUGUAGGGGAAACACUGCUGUUAAUCCACAGACUUACAGAAUGCUCUGGAAAUGAACAAAAGUUUUACAGAUGUGCAUUUUCAGAAUAAAGUGCUUCAGCGUGUGUCUGCUAUAUCUGUCAGCAGUGUCAAAUAUGAACUUGAGGAUGUUUUUGUAGUUGGCCAUGUACACACUGAAGCCAUACCUAUAUUCUUUAAAAUCAAGUAUAUUUUGAAUGUUGAUACUUGUUGGGUAUUGUGUGGGAAACUGUUACUUCCUUGCACUUAUGAAUGUCAGUUCCAUGCUUACCAAGUGGCAGUUCACAAUGACUGGAUCCUGUUCAAUCCAGGAAAUGAAUUAGACUUUCAAGCUCUAGACACCUAUUUAGUUGAUGAUAGGCUGUUUGUGUCCUUGAGGUAUUAUGUGUGACGUGAUUGCAAGCACAUUUUCCACUUUGUCUAUAUAUAUGACAUAUAUAUAUUCUGGCUUGUUGAAGUAGAGCAAAACAUUUGUGUGGACAGUUUUUUAAAUACAUGCCAUCUCUGUGAUCCGUCAAAAACAUUGUGUUCAGGUGUUUAAUGUCUUUAUGUGAUUGUUUACUUUUUUAAAUGAAUGUAUUUUUCUUGACAUGUCCUAUGGCAAUAUAAGAAUGUAAUCAAGGAUGUAUUCCUGUGGUUGUUUAAAUGCUUUGAUGUGAUUCUAUUAUCGAAAAUAAAUGGUUAAAUAACCAAAUAUUUUGGACUAUUGGGGGUACAUUUUUGUCUCUUUAGGUACGAAAUAGGUUGUCGCUGGGGGGGUACCCUCAUAGGUACCCUAUUGUACCCUUUUCAAGGGAACAUUUCUGUACUAUAGUUUGAAGGUACAUUUAUGUCUUAGGAAAGUACAUGAUUGUACUUCAGAUGGUACAACUUCAUAAGGUACAAAAAUGUACCACGCCUAAAGGGUACAGAAAUGUCCUUCAAAAAGGAACACCCCCAGCGACAAGCAUUUGUACCCUUUUUGGUACACUUUGGUACCCCUAUUUCUGAGAGUGCAUCUAUACUGUCCAGUCUCUCCUGGUGGACAUGGCAUCACGUUAUUCAUGGUUACAUACAAUUUUAGACUGAUGUGGACCAAAGCCUAAAACGAUGUGCCAGGAGUUUGCUGUUCUCACCGGCUCAGAUAUUUGAAGUUUACACAGCUACAUUCUCGCCUGAAAAUAUGUUAAACGUUUAUUUUGCGACCCAGAAACAGUAGAGUAAUAUCAAAACUAAGUAGCUGCAGUAGUAUUAGCUAUUGCUGGAAACUGGAAUUGGCUGUGCCAAUCUGAGAUAUGGUUUUUCAAUUUUGUUGUCCGGGUGGAAAAACGGGGGAAAUUCGGGAGAAUGGUGGCUCCGGGAGAUUUUCGGGAGGGGCACUGAAAUUCGGGAUUCUCACGGAAAAAUCGGGAGGGUUGGCAUGUAUGGCCUAGAUUAGCCUGUAACGUUAUUAUGAUGGACACAUUUUAUGACUGAACUUGACUUUAAGUGACUUACAGGUUUCUUUGAAAAAUACUUUGUUAUAUCCAGGUUCUUCCUUUUUGCUGCCAUCCUCCUCUCCUCCCUGCAGGUCCUCACAGCGCAGGCUUGCCGCUGCUAAAACUAAACAGAGCUCCUUGAAAGGCACAGCCAAUCACAUUGGCCAUAUUUGUCACAUGAGGUAAGACUCCAGUAGAGAACGUAAUUUAACUCUUUCUGCACUGCUAGGUGAAUGAAACGUUGACAGAUCGUUUGUUUUUUUUCUUUCUAUCGGUUUUGUUUUUCUUUACUCGAAGAGAUCAAAUUAUUGGUGGGGACAAUUCAAUAAUUACUGGAUAUUGGUGGGGACAUGUCCGUCUAUGCCAAAUCUACGCCCUUGGUUGGAGCAGCCUUUCAAUGCCUCUCUCUGUCUCUCAGACAGUAAAGCUCGUUCCCGGCCACGAGCCCGACACGGAACCCAAAGUAUUAGCCAGAGGUCUCCUUACCACUUUUCAGAGCCGCGGACCUGGCCGAGGUAACAAGAGAGUGCAAACAUGGUUAGGGCUGUGUUAGUUCAGUGAGAGAUUUAUUUGGAAAGAAAACUAUUUUUACUUGCAGAUGAAAACUAAUGUGUACGCUUAUGCCUGCAUUUUUAUUUUGUUAAAUACAAACAAAAUUGUAGCAAAAGUGCUGGAAAGUGUCUGGCCAGAAAGAGCUGUUUAUUUGGUAGUUCAAUGAAACUACUGUACUAUACUGCUGAGUGACUGUCUGCUGCUCAUUAAAUACAUUUCAUUGCAAUGUUGACCCUGUGCUAACUUGCAUAUGACAAAUAAAACUGAAGCGGAAAGGCUUCAGAUAGUUAAGAGUGAGAAAAAAAAUUGCGUUCAUGUUUGCAAUUUUGUCUUGUUACACAAUAUUUAGAAUUAAAUAAAACAAACAAAACACUACAUUUUAGGAAAUAUUAGAGGAUGUUUUCGUGUUUGUUUUUUUGUACUACUUGGACACUAAAGUGGCCCUCCAAUGAGAUGACGGUGCCAGAAGUGGCCCACGGCUCAUUUGAGUUUGAGACCCCUGCUCUAGGGGAGGGGCAUUAGAAACCUCAGGAUGAAGGUUUACUGGAUCCUCUUUCCUACUGAAACACCUAUUUCACCUGAGAUUAAGCUAGAAGCUUAAAAUAACAUUUACAUAAUGCAAAAUACUGUCAGACUCUGUGAAAUACAAAUGAUCAGUUACUUAGUUUAACAAUUAACACUUGCUAAGCAGAAAUUCUAAACAGAAUCAGAUGCUGAAUGUUACAGGAACCCACUUAUCUGUGGUGGUCACUGAAUGCUGUUGUAUUUUCUGUUGUUG